UCUUGUGGUUUGAGCAAACCAUUUUACAGAAGACUGCUUUGAGAAUCUUGGACAGUACAGAGCUGGAUUCGCCAGCAAACUUCGUGUGACAGAGGUUUCUGUACCUACUAUCCGUGUGGAGUCAGCAGAUGGAGAUGCUUCAGUACAGUCACUUCUGCUUCCAGCAACAAGAGAAAUUGGUUGUCAAACAGAUCCUCCAGAGAUAAUAAAACACACUGUUGGUACACAGCUAUCUCUACGGACUCUUCAGCCUCAUUUCAAAAGUGUCCAGGCUACUGUGUCCAGGAAAGACUGUUGUGUUGGCACGUCCACUGUUCCCCUCACUGCCCUGACGCCUGUCCUAACUUCAACACCUGUAAAGGGACCUCGUCUGAAGGAGGUGGAGGAGGAGGAUGAACUUGAUCUUGAGGACAGCUCAUCAAUAGUUACAUGUCAAGGGCUGGAUAGCACCUAUGAUCCUAGCAAUACUAUCAUUUCAGACCUUUCAGAUGUGGCAACAACUCCAAUCCAUGAGGUGAAGAAAUACAUUGUUUAUGAGACCUGCCUUAUGGAGCUGUUCAGGAUGUGCCCUAUGUGCCAGCGCCCAUGCACCAUUCAAUCAAGACGGCUCGGGACAUUCAUCUCGGUGGUGCAGCAGUGCCCCCAUUGUGAGUACCGCCGGACUUGGGACAGCAAACCACUCCUCAAUAACACGCCAGCCGGCAAUCUUCAGCUCUCUGUGGCAGUCUAUGUCAGUGGAGCCUCAUUUUUCAAAAUGCAAAGGGUCUUCGGCUAUGCACCUUCAAGUGUUUCUGUACGACACCUUUCGUCGGCAUGCACGUACAUAUGUUGAACCUGCUAUUAUCAACAAAUGGAAGGCUUCUCAGGAUGACAUGCUGCUGCGCCUUAGUGGGGAAAAUACCAUAAUUGGUGGCGACAUGAGAGCCGACUCUCCAGGCCACUCUGCAAAAUUUGGUAGCUACACAGUGAUGGACCUGAAAACCAACAAUGUGAUAGAUGUCCAGUUGGUUCAGAGCAACGAGGUAGGCGGCAGCUACCACAUGGAAAAGGAGGGCCUGAAGAGAAGCCUUGCAUUGUUGGAGGAGCGCAGGGUGACCCUUGACUGCAUAGUGACAGACCGACACCCGCAAAUACAGAAGUUCUUGAGGGAAACUGGCAUCAACCAGUACUAUGACGUCUGGCACAUGGAGAAAGGUAUAUUUUUUGAGUGUUAUUUUACAUAUUAUCAACACACCUCUAAAUGGUUCAUGCCAAGACAUUCAAGGCAAGGCAAGGCAAGGCAACUUUAUUUAUAUAGCACUUUUCAUACACAAGGCAGACUCAAAGUGCUUCACAUAUAAACAUUGUUAUACAUUAAAAUAAAAUAAUAGAUAAGUAAAAGAAAACAUAUGCAAAGAAAUUAGUAAAAUAGAAAGUUAAAAAGGCUUUUUAGUAAGUAAAAUUGAAAGUGCAAUGUAUUUAAGAAAGUGAGAAAAUUAAAUUGAAAGUUAUUUAAGAUCAGAUCAACAGUCUCUGGAACCCAAGUCGGGACUACAACCCGACCUAAAGGACAAUAUUCUAGGACUCUAACCCAGCUUCUAGGACUCUAGCCCAGCAACCUUUCUCUCUGGUAUCAGAUCAUGUAUUUUUCUGGUAAAAAUAGAAAAUAAAGGGAAAGUUAAAAAGGCAUUUUAGUAAAAUAAAGCUACAGUAUUUAAGAUUUAGCAGAAAGCUAAAGCAAACAUAAAAGUCUUCAAUCUUGUUUUGAAGGUGCUCAGAGUUGGGGCAAGUCUUAAAUCCUCAGGGAGUUUAUUCCAGCUAUUUGUUGCAUAGUAACUAAAUCCUGCUUUCCCAUGUUUUUGUUUACUCGGGGGAUAAUUAACAGAUUGGUCUCAGAAGAUCUUAGUGUUCUAGAAGGCUUAUGUAGUGGAAGCAUAUCAGUUAAAUAUUUUGGGCCUAAACCAUGUAGGGAUUUAUAGGUUAGCAACAUGAUUUUAAAAUCAAUUCUCUGACCUACAGGAAGCCAAUGUAACGAUUUAAGAAUUGGUGUAAUAUGUUCAAAUUUUUUGGUCUUUGUUAAAACUCUAGCAGCAGCAUUCUGAACAAGCUGAAGCUUCCUUAGAGUUUGUUUUGGGAGACCUGUAAGGAGACCAUUGCAGUAAUCAAGCUUACUAGUGAUAAAGGCAUGUACAAGUUUUUGUAAGUCUUCUGUGGACAUGAGCCCUCUAAGUCUUGCUACAUUUUUAAGGUGAUAAUAUGCAGAUUUUGUAACUGAUUUGAUGUGACUUUCGAAAUGUAAAUCAGAAUCCAUGAUAACCCCUAGGUUUCUGGCUUUGAUUGAGGUUUUCAGGGACAGAGAGUGUAGGUGUUGGGUUACUUUAAGCCUUUCCGUUUUAGCACCAAAUACAAUUAUCUCAGUUUUAUCCUCAUUUAGCUGAAGGAAAUUUCGGCACAUCCAGUCUUUCACUUGCUCAAUGCACUGGCACAGCAGAUCUAUGGGCCGAUAGUCAUUUGGUGAUAGCGAUACAUAGAUUUGCGUGUCAUCAGCAUAGCAAUGAUGGUCAAUAUUGUUAUUAUGCAUGAUUUGCCCUAGUGGGAGCAUGUAGAUGUUGAAUAAAGAGGGUCCUAAGAUCAAACCUUGUGGGACUCCACACAUCACGUUGGUUGAUUCUGAUACAAAGUCGCCGAUGGAAACAAAGUAGUUCCUAUUUUGUAGGUAGGAUCUGAACCAAUUUAAGACUGUGCCUGAAAGCCCCACCCAGUUUUCUAACCUGUCCAAAAGUAUUGUAUGGUCUACAGUGUCGAAUGCAGCACUGAGGUCUAGUAGCAUUAGUAUUGAGGUUUUGCCAGAGUCUGUGUUAAGACGGAUGUCGUUUACAACUUUAAUGAGGGCGGUCUCAGUGCUGUGCAGGGGUCGAAAUCCUGAUUGGAAGGUGCCAUAACAACCAGUUGAUGCCAGGAAGUGAUUAAGUUGCUGGAGGACAACUUUCUCAAUGAUUUUACUUAUGAAGGGCAGAUUUGAUAUUGGUCUGUAGUUGUUAAUAAUAGAGGUAUCUAGGCUCCGCUUUUUUAAAAGGGGUUUAAUAACUGCAGUUUUCAGGGCUUUUGGGAAGUUGCCUGACUGGAGAGAGUUGUUAACUAUCUGCAAUAUGUCUAUUGCUAGGCAGUCAAAAACAUUCUUAAAGAGGUUGGUAGGUAAAGAAUCAAGGCAACAGGUGGAUGGCUUUAGUUGUGUAACAGUUUCCACAAGAGUUUUAGAGUCAAUAACAUUAAAGCAUGCCAUCCCUGCCACUUUACUUUUGCCUGAACAGGGUGGUAGUCCAACAUUUUUGU